AUACGUAGGGGGCAAGCGUUAUCCGGAUUUACUGGGCGUAAAGGGCGUGUAGGCGGUCUUGCAAGUCAGAAGUGAAAUUCCUGAGCUCAACUCGGGCGCUGCUUCUGAAACUGCAGGACUUGAGUGCUGGAGGGGAUAGCGGAAUUCCUAGUGGAGCGGUAAAAUGCGCAGAUAUUAGGAAGAACACCGGUGGCGAAGGCGGCUAUCUGGACAGUAACUGACGCUGAGGCGCGAAAGCGUGGGGAGCAAACAGGAUUAGAUACCCUGGUAGUCCACGCUGUAAACGAUGAGUACUAGGUGUAGGGGGUAUCGACUCCCUCUGUGCCGCAGUUAACACAAUAAGUAUUCCGCCUGGGGAGUACGGCCGCAAGGUUGAAACUCAAAUGAAUUGACGGGG
rnacentral:rRNA from 1 species